rnacentral:rRNA from 1 species
UAGGGAAUCUUCGGCAAUGGACGGAAGUCUGACCGAGCAACGCCGCGUGAGUGAAGAAGGUUUUCGGAUCGUAAAGCUCUGUUGUAAGAGAAGAACGAGUGUGAGAGUGGAAAGUUCACACUGUGACGGUAUCUUACCAGAAAGGGACGGCUAACUACGUGCCAGCAGCCGCGGUAAUACGUAGGUCCCGAGCGUUGUCCGGAUUUAUUGGGCGUAAAGCGAGCGCAGGCGGUUAGAUAAGUCUGAAGUUAAAGGCUGUGGCUUAACCAUAGUAGGCUUUGGAAACUGUUUAACUUGAGUGCAAGAGGGGAGAGUGGAAUUCCAUGUGUAGCGGUGAAAUGCGUAGAUAUAUGGAGGAACACCGGUGGCGAAAGCGGCUCUCUGGCUUGUAACUGACGCUGAGGCUCGAAAGCGUGGGGAGCAAACAGGAUUAGAUACCCUGGUAGUCCACGCUGUAAACGAUGAGUGCUAGGUGUUAGACCCUUUCCGGGGUUUAGUGCCGUAGCUAACGCAUUAAGCACUCCGCCUGGGAGUACGACCGCAAGGUUG